UUCCUGUUAACUUCUAAAAUGUGAGUAUGAUGCAAAGACAUUUGUUUCUAGUUAAGACUUCGACUGAGGGGGUAAAUAAAAGGGUGAGGAGAUGUCUGAACUUUGAAACACCACCACCCCAGAAGAGAGCAGAAAAAUGUCAAAAUGAGUAAUCCAGGAGUUGAAAGGAGUCUAAAAUCUAGGCACUGUUUCUCACGACUUGGAGGCUAAUGUUUACUUGCUUUCUCUCAGGCUGUGUUGUCCACUGGGAAAGCAGCAGAAAUACCUGUCAGGCAGGAACCCCUGAAGUGGGCAACACAAGAAGCUCCUUUUAUGAAGGUGCCAAUUGCAAGUAUUCAAGAGUCCUGGAGGUCUUUGCCUUCACACAGGCCAAGGGGAUGAUCUUUCUAUCCUGCUCGUGA
rnacentral:lncRNA from 1 species